rnacentral:lncRNA from 1 species
CCAACGAGACGUUCGUGAAGGAAGAGGUUCAGGAUCCCGCUGAGUUCGAGCAACCCGACUUCGAUCAAGGCAAGUGCAGACACCGUUUGAUCAUUUUGAACCUACUCAUUAAUGUCAUUUACUUUAUAUGCAUGUGUCCAAUGAAUGCAAACCCUAAGGACAUGACUAGCGUUAUUUAUUAUUCCUUGCUCACCUGGGGUUAUGUAUUUGGGUAGACUAGGCUAUACUAGGUCUGCUUAGCUGCUCUACUCAUCUUAUACACAUGUCUAAACAAGAAUUACUCUCUACUUAACUUGAUGCUUAAACUGUGCUGAAUCUUUGGUCACUGCGGUGAUAGCGAUGUUGGAUGCUUGCGAGCAUCGUGAUGAUGGUGGUGACAGGGGGAGCGGGUACCGUUGGUGGUCCGGUUUGCCGGGCGUACCCGUCUCUGCUCUCCGUAAGGACUUAGUCAGGGAGCGGCCCCCUGGGACUUACAGUGCAGCUCCAAGCUAUAUGGCUCUGGCUUGACUAAUUAGCAGGACCUCCACUAGUAGGGUGUUACUUUCCGGGUAGGCGUGAGGAAGUAACUUGGGUAAUGAAUAUUAAGUUGUCGGUUGAUCGGUACGCCAUGGCUAUGGGUAUCGACUGCCGAGCGCCCCGGCAAAAACUUGCGAGUGGCAUCCUAUUAGUUGGACCCUGUGAAAGGUCUCGUAGUGAGACCCUGCCUGCUCACCUUGGAAGUGUUUUGGGGAGUCGCGACCCCGGGCAAAUGGGAAUCACGACUUGGAGUGAACGUGCACACCUCUGCAGAGUGUAAAACUGAUAUAUCAGCCGUGCUCACAGUCACGAGCGGCCCAGACCCUCACUUGAUGAGCAAAUUGGAUUCACUGGUUACUUGGAGAUGGACCUUGGCGAGGUUGCUACCUCGUGAUUUUGGCGGAAUGGCUAUUCCGUGUUGGCAGGAUUGCUAUCCUGUGUUAAUAAUUGGGGUGAAUCCCUGGAUUACUAUAAUAAUUAGGACAGUCUUCUAAAAGAUGUUAAUUACUACUUACACUAAAUAAGGGUUGGGUUUAUGCUACUCAUAAUUAGUAAUAGGUUGUUCUAAUAUUAGUCAUAACUAAAAGUGUUCAACUAAAAUGCUACCGCAGUCAAACCAAGUCAGCUUUACCUUGUUUUAAGCCUUGCAUGUCAUUACUUUCCGUCUGUGCUUGCUGAGUUCGACAUGAGCUCACCCUUGCUAUAAUCAUUAAAGGUUGCUCGGACGAUCAGGAGUACAAUUGUGAUUUCCCUGAGGACUACCCUGAGUCUCCCGGUUGUUAGGCUCAUGUGGUUCUACCGUCGACCUUCCUGUGGCAAGGUGGUCCUGCUACGUCGGCGUUUUAGUUUUCCCUUUUAUUUAUGGAACAGUUUAGUUCAUGUUUCCCCUCCGCACUUUGAUAAACAUUUGGCCUGUAAUAAUGGUACUUUUACUCUCAUUUAUGUAAUUCGUUUGAACACUGUGUUUUGUACCAUUGAUGAUGUCGG